rnacentral:rRNA from 1 species
AGGAAUAUUGGUCAAUGGGCGAGAGCCUGAACCAGCCAAGUAGCGUGAAGGAUGACUGCCCUAUGGGUUGUAAACUUCUUUUAUAAAGGAAUAAAGUCGGGUAUGGAUACCCGUUUGCAUGUACUUUAUGAAUAAGGAUCGGCUAACUCCGUGCCAGCAGCCGCAGUAAUACGGAGGAUCCGAGCGUUAUCCGGAUUUAUUGGGUUUAAAGGGAGCGUAGAUGGAUAUUUAAGUCAGUUGUGAAAGUUUGCGGCUCAACCGUAAAAUUGCAGUUGAUACUGGAUAUCUUGAGUGCAGUUGAGGCAGGCGGAAUUCGUGGUGUAGCGGUGAAAUGCUUAGAUAUCACGAAGAACUCCGAUUGCGAAGGCAGCCUGCUAAGCUGCAACUGACAUUGAGGCUCGAAAGUGUGGGUGUCAAACAGGAUUAGAUACCCUGGUAGUCCACACGGUAAACGAUGAAUACUCGCUGUUUGCGAUAUACUGCAAGCGGCCAAGCGAAAGCGUUAAGUAUUCCACCUGGGGAGUACGCCGGCAACGGUGAAACUCAAAGGAAUUGACGGGGGCCCGCACAAGCGGAGGAACAUGUGGUUUAAUUCGAUGAUACGCGAGGAACCUUACCCGGGCUUAAAUUGCAGAUGAAUUACGGUGAAAGCCGUAAGCCGCAAGGCAUCUGUGAAGGUGCUGCAUGGUUGUCGUCAGCUCGUGCCGUGAGGUGUCGGCUUAAGUGCCAUAACGAGCGCAACCCUUGUUGUCAGUUACUAACAGGUUCCGCUGAGGACUCUGACAAGACUGCCAUCGUAAGAUGUGAGGAAGGUGGGGAUGACGUCAAAUCAGCACGGCCCUUACGUCCGGGGCUACACACGUGUUACAAUGGGGGGUACAGAGGGCCGCUACCACGCGAGUGGAUGCCAAUCCCCAAAACCUCUCUCAGUUCGGACUGGAGUCUGCAACCCGACUCCACGAAGCUGGAUUCGCUAGUAAUCGCGCAUCAGCCACGGCGCGGUGAAUACGUUCCCG